rnacentral:rRNA from 1 species
UACAGAGGGGGCGAGCGUUGUUCGGAAUUACUGGGCGUAAAGGGCGCGUAGGCGGCCUUCUAAGUCGAACGUGAAAUCCCCGGGCUCAACCCGGGAACUGCGUCCGAUACUGGGAGGCUUGAAUCCGGGAGAGGGAUGUGGAAUUCCAGGUGUAGCGGUGAAAUGCGUAGAUAUCUGGAGGAACACCGGUGGCGAAGGCGGCAUCCUGGACCGAUAUUGACGCUGAUGCGCGAAAGCCAGGGGAGCAAACGGG